rfam:Oryza glaberrima chromosome 4 Oglab04_0235_5, whole genome shotgun sequence.
GAUAAAACAAACCCUGGGUUUCCGUAUACAACGUUUGACCAUCCAUCUUAUUUGAAAAAAUUAUUAAAAAAUUAAAAAGACAAAUCACGCAUAAAGUAUUAAUUAUAUUUUAUCAUCUAACAACAAUGAAAAUACUAAUUAUAAAGAAAAAUUAUAUAAGACGGACAGUCAAAUAUUAGACACGGAAACUCAGGGUUUGUCUUUUU